rnacentral:rRNA from 1 species
GGGUGCGAUCAUACCAGCACUAAUUCACCGCAUCCCAUCAGAACUCCGAAGUUAAACGUGCUUGGGCGAGAGUAGUACUAAGAUGGGUGACCUCUUGGGAAGUCCUCGUGUUGCAUCCU